GGGGAAUAUUGCACAAUGGGCGCAAGCCUGAUGCAGCAACGCCGCGUGAGGGACGACGGCCUUCGGGUUGUAAACCUCUUUUGGCAGGGAAGAAGCGAAAGUGACGGUACCUGCAGAAAAAGCACCGGCUAACUACGUGCCAGCAGCCGCGGUGAUACGUAGGGUGCAAGCGUUGUCCGGAAUUAUUGGGCGUAAAGAGCUCGUAGGCGGUUUGUCGCGUCUGCUGUGAAAACCCGAGGCUCAACCUCGGGCCUGCAGUGGGUACGGGCAAACUAGAGUGCGGUAGGGGAGAUUGGAAUUCCUGGUGUAGCGGUGGAAUGCGCAGAUAUCAGGAGGAACACCGAUGGCGAAGGCAGAUCUCUGGGCCGUAACUGACGCUGAGGAGCGAAAGCAUGGGGAGCGAACA
rnacentral:rRNA from 1 species